UUGUUUUUUUUUUUUACUUUUUAGCUAUUUGUUUUCAGCUUUUGAAAACUCGCUAUUUAAAUAAAAUUGACUAAUUAUUUAUUUAUUUAUUUGAUUUUUUUAAAAGUAACGGACUGAUUAUUUAGAAAAACUAAUUAAUUUGUUUAUUAGAAAAAUCUAUUCUGACAUGAGAGAAGAACAUACAAAAAAUGAGUUUAAUUAGUGUGUAAUCAAACAUUGUAACCAAAAAACAUUCAUAAGAAAAAUGAUAGUAUGAAUUAAGAGAAAAACAAACCUUAUUAGAUUACGUUUGUUUCAGAUUAUAAAUAAUAAGGGUUAAUAGUCAAAUUAGUUAUUGAGUUUGUAAGGAAAAAUGAUGUUUAGUGAUGGUCAUUUAUUUUACAAUUAUUGAUGGUUUUUUACCGCAACUAAACAUCAUAAUCAAACUUGCUUAUAAAUUUAGGGACCAAUUUGACCAUUAACCCUAAAUAAUAAUUAUCUCCAAAAAAAUAAAUAAUAAUGAUUCGUUUCUUUUUAACGAAUAAUAAUGAUUAGUUGUUCUGCCAAAAAUAAUUAUUAGUUGUUUAAAUAAAAGAGAUUAAUUUUAGAGAUUAAACAAAAAUUAGAAUUAUUGACGUUUGUGUUUUAUUUUUUUUGUCAAUAGGAGAUGAGCAACAAUGUGGCCCAAUUUUAGAAGUCCAAGACUUGGAGUUUUUAUCUACUGUUGAUGUUUUUGAAGGCCAGACCAAUUAACUUCCAGUUUUAAGCACUUGCUCCUAUGUUUAUUUUAGCCUUUUAAAUUUUAAUAUUUUUUAUGAAGUUUUUUAAUUAAUAAAGUUAAAAAUAGAGACUUUGAAUAAAAUUGAGUGUAAAACGGAAUGAGAUUUGACAAAAUUAAGUCUUUUUUGCGAAUAAAUGAAGCUAAAAAAAGGAUACAACUAAACAAGACUAGCAUAACAAUGUCAGCUUGAAGUUAGAAGCGGACUAAACUCUCUUAGGGGCAAUGACAAUGACCAAUUUCAAAAAUCAAACUGACAAAAAUUAAGUGUUUCCAAUUAGUAUUAAAUAUUAUUUUUUACUCAAACUUUCUCAUUGGUCAUUUAGACAACUCUUUUCUUUCUCAUUUAAAAAGAAGUAAAAACAUAUAAAAAAGGGAAAAUUGUUUUUGUCUUGUUAUUUUAUAUGAUUUUUUUUGUUUUUCAAAGUAUCGCCAUAAUUGACAGUCACGAGACUAAUCUCCCGAGACUCUGACAUCUCGUUAAGUGGAUAUGUCUCUCCCAACAAAUAUUUAUCCAUACGCACCACACAUGAUCGAACCCUUGACUAGAUAAUCAAACUAUCUGCUUAUUUGAUUUGGUAAAAGGCCCAACAACAUGCAUGAAAAAGGACAAGGUUAUAGUGUCACGACCUUAAAAUAAUAAUAAUAUAUGAGAUAUAAUAGGACCUAAUCAAAAGUAAAAUAAGAAACGAUGUUUGAGCGAAAUCUGCAUAAGUUGUUUAAAUUCUAUGUGUCAACUUAAACUCACCAAAAUAGUGUUUAAACUUUAAACAACUUAACUAACAACUCAUCUAAAAGGACUAGUGUGAUGACCCGUGCGUUGCACGGAAAUUUUAGGUUGUUCAUUAUUUUUUUUAUAUAUGAAUGAAUUAACAUAAAUUCAUUUAAAUUGUGAUGGUAUGUAUUUUGGAAAAAAAACAUGAUAGUAUAUUAGUAUGUACCUUACAUAGGAAUGACACUUUCCACUUGAAGAUGGGGAUCCCCGUGGGGACUGCCCCAUUUGGGGCCCCGACUUUGGGGAAUUUUCCCCCGUGGGAAUAGGGAUGGGGACAGAAAUACCGCCGAUAAGAAUUUGGGGACGGGGAUGGGAUCACCCUCCCUGCCCUGCGAAGUCCCCGCCCCGUAUAUAUAAGUUAAAAUACAAUAACACACUUAUAAAUAUUGAAUUACUUACGAUACAAAUUUCACUUUUGGAUGAGUUGAAUGCUCGACAAAAUAUUUUGAGUGUUGAACUUCAUAUAUUUUUAUGAGUUGAAUGUUGUACUUUACGUUUCAAAUUGUUAUUUUGUAGACUUCACACAUUGUGUGAUUAAUUUUAUUUACUUUUAUUUAAAAUUUAUUAUAUAUUUAUAUUGAAUUUGAUGUAGUUGCAUUGUCACUUGUGGUCUUUAAAGUUAUUGCAUAAAUUUGUAUAUUUUGUAUAUGUGCACUAUAGUUCUAUACCCGUGCAAUGCACUGGAAAAUAUGUUGUAUAUAAAUUAUGCUAUUUAUUAUUUCCUCCGUUCCAAAACUAUUGUAGUUUUAGCUUUUUUGUUUUGUUUCAAAACUAUUGUUGUUUUACAUAUCCAAAACACUUUAUCUCAUUCUCUUCCAUUCAUGCACUCAUUUAUUAUUGUAUCUCUCAAGUACUACCUCUUAUUUCCACCAAUCACAAUUCUCACCAAUUAGUUGAGCAAUGAUUUCCACUCUCUCUUUCAUAUAACUCAUGUUAAAUAAGGGUGUUUCAGUCAAAUUAUAACAUUAAUUAAUGAACUCUUAAACUUUGUGAAAAAACUAAAACUACAAUAGUUUUGGAACGGAGGGAGUAUUAGGUUUUUCUUGGGCUUAGGAAAAAACGAGAUUGAACAAGAGAUAAUAUAUAUUGGCAUGAUGUGAAUGUGAGGGGGGAAGAACGGCAGCAUCAGUAGGUUAUAAUAUACUAGGAUUAUGCCCGUUACCCGUGCGAUGCACGGGAAUAUUUUUUUACAAACUUUAUGAUAAUUACAAUUUUUAUAUAUUCAGUAUAUAUAUAAUUAUGUAAUAAUGUAUAUAGUUAUCUAUACAAUUUUUUUAUAGGUAAAUGUUAGUUGUUAGUAAUAUUAGUAAAUUAGUCCUCUUCAUGGUUCGAAGUUUGGUCUCUUCACCCUUCAACCCACCCAGCCCUUAUGUCUCUAACUUUUACCACUUGAGCUAUCAUUCAGAAACUAACUUACUAUACAAUGAUAAUUUAAGAUAAGAGACUAAUUUACUUACAACUAAUAUUUGCCUAAAAAAAUUACUUAUACAACGAUAAUCAACUUUCUUACAAAUUAAUGCUUGAGGAGUUGAGACCGUAUUUGCGUUUGGAAGCUAACUAUGUAUAAGGGGAGUUAUACAACGACAUAGUGGUGAUAAAAGAUGAUCAACAUAUAUUUGGGCCAUAGUAUAUUAGACAAUUAAAAAGACAUUCCCUAAAAAUAUUACUCCAUCAUAUGAAAAAAAUUAUUGUUAAAUAUAAGUCCAUUUAUAAUAUUUAAGAAGCAUUAAUUUUUUUUUUCAAAUUUACAUUCAUAUUAUAGAAAAUUAAAUAAGGGUAAUGCAAAUUUAUUGUGAGUAACUAUUUUUCUUAAUCUAAUAAAAUUAUGUAAAAGUAACUUAUAUAUAGGAACGGGUUAAGUAUGAUAAGUGAACUUAAUGACAAAAACCUCUAAAUAUAGUGAUUAAUAUAAAUAGAAAUACAAAGAUUUGCUCAAAUAUAGGUGCAAAAAAUAUUACAAAGUUAUUCCAACUAAUUAUUGUAGAUCUUUUGAAGAAUGAAAUAAUUUACUUUCAAUUAAUAAUUAUUGUAGAUUGUGAGACUAUACAAUUAAGUGUUACGUGUUUUAUGUUUAUCUCACAUGGGCAUGGCACCAUGGAACACUUAAAAAAAUAUAAGUAGACUCAAUAAUUACUUUUUUCAAUAUUAAACAGAAAAUUAGAUUAUGACAAAUGGAGGAAAGUAUAUUUGUGUGCCAAAUAUUAAUUCAUCUUUUAAAUUGCUCUAAGAUGUUUUCAUAUAAUUUUUGACAAAGCACAAUUUGUGAAGAUAAUGAGUUUGAUUCAACAAACAGGUGAAGUAGUAAACCAUUUGUGGCUUCCAACUUUCCAAAAAUGAUUGUUUGAAAAAAAAAAUUCAAAAUGAAAGGAGAUAUCAUAGGCAAAAUUAAUGUUGGACAAAAAGAAAUAAAAAAUAAAUGAGUGUCACUAUGUUGUUGAUGUAUUUUUUUUAGCUUCAUAUAUUUGAGAAUAAAACAAUUACUUAUUAAUAUCAAACUUGACCAUAUUUCAAAGAAUCAAAAUCAAACGGUCAAACAUUGUCAAACUCCCAAACAUGUUUUCCAUCCUGUUCUAUAUCAUUGAAGAAAUCAUUCAUAAAAUGGAGAUGAAAACAGUUAUGCAAAUGGAACCAAAAAAAAAUGGUGUAAAUUGAAUGUUUUGCAUUUUGAUCAUGUCAUGUAAUAUUAAAUUACACCAAAAUUUUUUUUAAAUUACACUACAUUAAAUUGCAAACAAUCAGAUUGUACUCAAUAGCAAAGCAAUUCAAGGGGAAGUGAUCAAAGUCAGUAUAGUAACUCCAAGACUAAUUGAAUACCUACAUCAAUAAUCACAGCUAACAUUAGUUUUUCCUUUUCUCCUAGAAAAAGAUAUAUACACAUGGGAUCAGCCAUCCUCCUAUGAUAGAAGUUAACUAAAUUACCAUUAAAUAAAUUUGUUUUACAAACUCAAUAAGUAUUGUUUAUUGAAACAAAAUGAACUAAAAUAAGAAAGAUGGGUUUCAACAAAUUUAAGAUCAAAACAAACAAAACUUCAAAAAGGAAUACACAUGGUAUUCACUAAAAGCUUUCACCUUUGCAAACGGUAUCAUAACUACAAACUACUUACCAUUAGAUGAUAAGUGCUCAUUCACGAUAUGAAAAUAUUCAUCCAACAAAGUACAAACUCAAAAGGGGAGUGGAACACUUAGAUACAAACUCAGAGACAUACAGAAAAGAGAUGGGAAAGAUCUGAUAAGAUGAGGCUGUUGAUGGAAGGAACAUCACUCCUAUUUACNNN
rnacentral:lncRNA from 1 species